rnacentral:rRNA from 1 species
AGCGAACGCUGGCGGCAGGCCUAACACAUGCAAGUCGAACGAACCCUUCGGGGUUAGUGGCGGGCGGGUGAGUAACACGUGGGAGCGUGCCUUUAGGUUCGGAAUAACUCAGGGAAACUUGUGCUAAUACCGAAUGUGCCCUUCGGGGGAAAGAUUUAUCGCCUUUAGAGCGGCCCGCGUCUGAUUAGCUAGUUGGUGAGGUAAUGGUUCACCAAGGCUACGAUCAGUAGCUGGUCUGGGAGGAUGACCAGCCACAUUGGGACUGAGACACGGCCCAAACUCCUACGGGAGGCAGCAGUGGGGAAUCUUGCGCAAUGGGCGAAAGCCUGACGCAGCCAUGCCGCGUGGAUGAUGAAGGUCUUAGGAUUGUAAAAUCCUUUCACCGGUGAAGAUAAUGACUGUAGCCGGAGAAGAAGCCCCGGCUAACUUCGUGCCAGCCGCCGCGGUAAAAC